UACGGAGGAUCCGAGCAUUAUCCGGAUUUAUUGGGUUUAAAGGGUGCGCAGGCGGGAGAUUAAGUCGGCGGUGAAAUUUUGCAGCUCAACUGUAAAAGUGCCAUUGAUACUGGUUUUCUUGAGUGUAGAUGAAGUAGGCGGAAUUUGUGGUGUAGCGGUGAAAUGCAUAGAUAUCACGAGGAACUCCGAUUGCGCAGGCAGCUUACUAAACUACUACUGACGCUCAGGCACGAAGGCGUGGGGAUCAAACAGGAUUAGAUA
rnacentral:rRNA from 1 species